AACGAACGCUGGCGGCAGGCUUAACACAUGCAAGUCGAGCGCCCCGCAAGGGGAGCGGCAGACGGGUGAGUAACGCGUGGGAAUCUACCGAGCCCUAAGGAAUAGCUCCGGGAAACUGGAAUUAAUACCUUAUACGCCCUUCGGGGGAAAGAUUUAUCGGGGUUUGAUGAGCCCGCGUUGGAUUAGCUAGUUGGUGGGGUAAAGGCCUACCAAGGCGACGAUCCAUAGCUGGUCUGAGAGGAUGAUCAGCCACAUUGGGACUGAGACACGGCCCAAACUCCUACGGGAGGCAGCAGUGGGGAAUAUUGGACAAUGGGCGCAAGCCUGAUCCAGCCAUGCCGCGUGAGUGAUGAAGGCCCUAGGGUUGUAAAGCUCUUUCACCGGUGAAGAUAAUGACGGUAACCGGAGAAGAAGCCCCGGCUAACUUCGUGCCAGCCGCCGCCGUAAGAC
rnacentral:rRNA from 1 species